UUUAUGAAAACAAAUAGUAAAACAGUAACAGUAGGGUAAUCUUGUAUAUAAAUGAAGUUUGGAGUCCUUAUUUUUUAGACCACUUUGAAGUUUGUUUGAACCUCUUUCACCUCCUUGAUUAAUGGCUUCCCAGUCUCAAUCUCAAUCUCAAUCUCAAUCUCAAUCUCAAUCUCAAUCUCAACCUCAAAUCAAGCUCAUCGUUUCAACAUCAUCAUCACCCAAAAGUGACAGUGGAAUCGGUGGUGAUGCAGCGGCGUCGUUUCCCAAAGGACGGUGUCUAUGUUCACCAACGACACACGAAGGCUCUUUCAGGUGUCGUUUUCAUCGUUCAGGGUCAUUUUCGUCAUCUGCACCUCCACCUUGGAUGAAAAGGACCAAAUCAAUGCCUCCUAAUCAUAAUAAGUCUGUUGUUUCUGUUUCUCCACAGUGAGUCAUAUAUGUUUUCCUGUGUACCUUGUAAGUACGAUGAUGCUCUGUUUCUCAUCAUGUCUAUGCUUAUAUGUUGUUAAUCGAUCAUUAACUACUUUAAGCUUAUGUAAAGGUUAUGAAUUACAUGUAUAUUAUAAUUACGUAUAUUUUUCUUCUUCCUUCGAUAUACUCCGCACUACUACUAAAUUGGAUAUUAUAUAUAAUUAUGUUUUGAAUUGAUUUUCGCAACAGUUCUGUUAUCUACUAUCAACAUGAUGAUACCUAAAGCAUAAUAACUUCGAUCCAUUUGUAGAAUUAUAUACUUUUUUCUUUAAGGACGGUAGAAUUAUAUAGUUCUUCAGAUAAUAAUGUUAUAAUGUGUGAUUUAAUAUUAAUAAGAAAGUGAAAGAAAGAUUAAUCCAUAUAUUAACAAUCAUUUAUUUGUGAUAUACAAGUUACAAAGUUGUUUGUCGC
rnacentral:lncRNA from 1 species